rnacentral:rRNA from 1 species
ACCUGGUUGAUCCUGCCAGUAGUCAUAUGCUUGUCUCAAAGAUUAAGCCAUGCAUGUCUAAGUUUAAGUACUAUAAUGACGAAACUGCGAACGGCUCAUUAAAACAGUGAUAAUUGAUUUGAUGGAAUUCUACACGGAUAACCGUGGGAAACCAAGGCUAAUACGUGCAUAAGACUUCGGUCUGAGUUUAUUAGCUUAAGAUCCAUUUUAUGAUGGUUCAUGGUAAAUGAUCGGAUCGCACGCUUUAAGCGGCGAUGGUUCAUUCAAGUCUCUGACCUAUCAGCUUUCGACGGUCGGGUAUUGGCCCACCGUGGCUUUGACGGGUAACGGGGAAUUAGGGUUCGAUUCCGGAGAGGGAGCCUGAGAAACGGCUACCACGUCUAAGGAUGGCAGCAGGCGCGUAAAUUACCCAAUUCUGACAUAGAGAGGUAGUGACAAGAAAUAGCAACGUGAGGCAAUAGCUUUGCGAUUGCAAUGAGUAGAAUCUACACGUUUCUACGAGUAACAAUUGGAGGGCAAGUCUGGUGCCAGCAGCCGCGGUAAUUCCAGCUCCAAUAGCGUAUAUUAAAGUUGUUGCAGUUAAAAAGCUCGUAGUCGAUCUUCUAAGGGGAAUUUUCGUCGGCUCUGCCACGUUGAUUACUCUUAUCCGCUCGAGAACUUUAUACGUCCUUAACUGGUCGAUAAUGCACAUCGGGCAUUUUACUGAGAAGAAAUUAGAGUGUUCAAAGCAGGUUGUUGCCUUGAAUACACAAGCUUGGAAUAAUGGAAUAAGACUAGAGUCUUUUUUGUUGGCUAUAAGGCUUUAGUAAUGGUUAAUAGAAACAGUUGGGGGCAUUAGUAUUUAAUUGUCAGAGGUGAAAUUCUUGGAUUUAUUAAAGACUAACUUAUGCGAAAGCAUUUGCCAAGGAUGUUUUCAAUUGAUCAAGAACGAAAGUUAGGGGAUCAAAGACGAUCAGAUACCGUCCUAGUCUUAACUAUAAACGAUUCCGACUAUGGAUCGGGAAAGUUUUUUUAGCUUUCUCGGCACAUUAUGAGAAAUCAUAAGUCUUUGGGUUCCGGGGGAAGUAUGGACGCAAGUCUGAAACUUAAAGGAAUUGACGGAAGGGCACACCAGGAGAGGAACUUGCGGCUUAAUUUGACUCAACACGGGGAAACUUACCAGGUCAAGACAUAGGUAGGAUUGACAGAUUUGAGAGCUCUUUCUUGAUUCUAUGGGUGGUGGUGCAUGGCCGUUCUUAGUUGGUGGAGUGAUUUGUCUGGUUAAUUCCGUUAACGAACGAGACCUUAACCUGCUAAAUAGAAGUCGGAUUCUAAUCUGAUGUUCUUCUUAGAGGGACUAUGUAUGCAAAUACAUGGAAGUUUGAGGCAAUAACAGGUCUGUGAUGCCCCUAGACGUCCUGGGCCGCACGUGCGUUACAAUGACACGAUCAGCAAGUUUUUCCUGCCCCGACAGGGGACGGGUAAUCUUUAUAGUACGUGUCGUAGUGGGAAUUGUCCUUUGUAAUUAUAGGACAUGAACUAGGAUUUCCUAGUAUAGGUGUGUCAUAAGCGCACCUAGAUUAAGUCCCUGCCCUUUGUACACACCGCCCGUCGCUCCUACCGAUUGAGUAAAAUGGUGAACCUUCUGGACUAGAAUUAUCUUUAUGGCUCUUCUGGGAAGUUAAGUAAACCAUUCUUACUUAGAGGAAGGAGAAGUCGUAACAAGGUUUCCGUAGGUGAACCUGCAGAAGGAUCA